rnacentral:rRNA from 1 species
CCUUUUGGUUCGGAACAACACAGGGAAACUUGUGCUAAUACCGGAUAAGCCCUUACGGGGAAAGAUUUAUCGCCGAAAGAUCGGCCCGCGUCUGAUUAGCUAGUUGGUGAGGUAAUGGCUCACCAAGGCGACGAUCAGUAGCUGGUCUGAGAGGAUGAUCAGCCACAUUGGGACUGAGACACGGCCCAAACUCCUACGGGAGGCAGCAGUGGGGAAUAUUGGACAAUGGGGGCAACCCUGAUCCAGCCAUGCCGCGUGAGUGAUGAAGGCCCUAGGGUUGUAAAGCUCUUUUGUGCGGGAAGAUAAUGACGGUACCGCAAGAAUAAGCCCCGGCUAACUUCGUGCCAGCAGCCGCGGUAAUACGAAGGGGGCUAGCGUUGCUCGGAAUCACUGGGCGUAAAGGGUGCGUAGGCGGGUCUUUAAGUCAGGGGUGAAAUCCUGGAGCUCAACUCCAGAACUGCCUUUGAUACUGAAGAUCUUGAGUCCGGGAGAGGUGAGUGGAACU